AAAUUGAAGAGUUUGAUCAUGGCUCAGAUUGAACGCUGGCGGCAGGCCUAACACAUGCAAGUCGAACGGUAGCACAGAGAGCUUGCUCUCGGGUGACGAGUGGCGGACGGGUGAGUAAUGUCUGGGAAACUGCCUGAUGGAGGGGGAUAACUACUGGAAACGGUAGCUAAUACCGCAUAACGUCGCAAGACCAAAGAGGGGGACCUUCGGGCCUCUUGCCAUCAGAUGUGCCCAGAUGGGAUUAGCUAGUAGGUGGGGUAACGGCUCACCUAGGCGACGAUCCCUAGCUGGUCUGAG
rnacentral:rRNA from 1 species